rnacentral:rRNA from 1 species
UACAGAGGUCCCAAGCGUUGUUCGGAUUUACUGGGCGUAAAGGGUGCGUAGGUGGUUGGGUAAGUCUGAUGUGAAAUCUCCGGGCUCAACCCGGAAAUGGCAUUGGAUACUAUUCGACUAGAGGGUUGGAGGGGGGACUGGAAUACUUGGUGUAGCAGUGAAAUGCGUAGAUAUCAAGUGGAACACCAGUGGCGAAGGCGAGUCCCUGGACAACUCCUGACACUGAGGCACGAAAGCUAGGAGAGCAAACAGG